CUGAACCAGCCAUCCCGCGGUGCAGGAUGACGGCCCUAUGGGUUGUAAACUGCUUUUCUACGCCAAGAAACGGCUCUACGUGUAGGGCACUGACGGUAGCGUAGGAAUAAGCAUCGGCUAACUCCGUGCCAGCAGCCGCGGUAAUACGGAGGAUGCAAGCGUUAUCCGGAUUCAUUGGGUUUAAAGGGUGCGCAGGCGGGGAAGUAAGUCAGUGGUGAAAAACUGCCGCUCAACGGUAGUCGUGCCAUUGAUACCGCUUUUCUUGAGUUUGGAUGAGGUAGGCGGAAUGUGCACU
rnacentral:rRNA from 1 species